GGCCUAAACCUUAUACCUUAUAAGGCAUGGCUGUAAAACCCAGUAAGGAGACGUACGGGCUCCGUUCAGUUAUCCUUACUGGGUCAUAUAUCGAAAGAUAUAUGGACGCUCGAAAGAGUGUC
rnacentral:sRNA from 1 species